GAUGAACGCUAGCUACAGGCUUAACACAUGCAAGUCGAGCGACCGGCGCACGGGUGUGUCAUACGUAUCCAACCUUCCCUUUCCUCGGGGAUUGCCUUUCGAAAGAAAGAUUAAUACACGAUGUAAAGGAUCGGGAUGCGUUUACUUAGGUUGUUGGUGAGGGAACGGCUCACCCAGCCUUCGAUGGAUAGGGGUGCUGAUAGGAAGGUCCCCUACAUUGGAACUGAGGCACAGUCCAAACUCCUACGCAGAGCAGCAGUAAAUAAUAUUGGUCAAUGGGCGUUAGCCUGAACCAGCCAAGUAGCGUGAAGGAUGAAGGCUUAUGAGUCGUAAACUACUGAUAUAUAAGGAGAUGUAUUAUAUGAAUAAGGAUCGGCUAACUCCGUGCCAGCAGCCGCGGUAAUAC
rnacentral:rRNA from 1 species